GCAGUGGCGCUGCAGCGUGCCCUCCAUGCCCGACAAGACCGUCUGCGAGAAGCACUACGUCCAGGCCAAGAAGCGCUCCGCCUCCUCCGCGCUCCGUGCCUCGCUCCGCCGCUCCUCAGCCUCCUCCCUCGCGCCCGCCUUCCCAUUCUCCUCCUCCUCCGCCGCUCGCCUCCGCGCCGCCGAUGACGACCCUCCCAUGGCGGUCGCGAGGCCCCUCUACGGCAGGGUCACCGGGGAGGCGGUGUACGUGGCUGAACCGGUGCCGGUGCCCGCGUGGAAGGGGUCGCCUACGAAGGGCUGCCUCGGUGCAAUGCGGAUGGUGGCAGGACCACGGCGUGCUAGUCGGCAGAGGCCCACUAUGGUUUCCUGGUGGCAGCGCUGAAGGGAUAAGGAGUUGCCACUAGUGCCGGAAGGCUGGGGGUGUCAUCUGGUGUACUAGCUGUGACAGGAGAGGCUACUGUGCCAGAUGCAUCUCCAGAUGGUCUCAACUCUCAAGUCAGUACCAGUAGCAGAGUUGAAUGUUUGGUAAUUUGGCUAUUUGCACUAUGGGUUGCUUGCUGCUAGAGCAGAGGUCUUAAAAUCUGGCAAUGGCAAUGGUUACAACAACUGUAUGUUAGAAGGAUAUCAAGGGCAAUAUAAAUAUGGCUCUGAAACAUUUGAAGCCUCAGCUUCACCUUCUGGUGCAAGUUAUUCAAAAUGCAAGAAUGAUGUUGUGAAAUCUCUUAAAGUGGAUGAAGCAUGUACCCACCUGAAAUGUUCUUUUGGUGGCAUUUGGAAUGGUGGCGGUGGUGCUGGACAGAAAAAACUUUUUGUGGCAUCGUUUUUCUUUGACAUGGCUGAUGAGGAAAAUGGAAGUCAUGCGACUAAGAGGGGCACGUACGACGAGAACCUGGUGAACGGACAGAUUGCGCAGCAAUUGACAGGGACUCAUCUGGUUGCCAUCUUUCUGAAUCGUAUCUGCUGAAUGCUCGAGCUCUGGGGAUGGAUCAUGGAUGGCUACGAGGAGGCCGCGAUUGAGGAUGGCUCCCAAUGUUUUCUAAUCGGUUGAUCGUUUCUAAUUGACACAGAGGCGAUCAACUGAUUAGAUCGAUUCUUACUUCACAACUGAUGUCUUCGAUGGUGAUAAAUACCAGGAUUGUAUUGGUGACAUUAUUGCGCAACUUUGGAGUCAGUUCAUUCUAUUUGAGUCAGUGUAUUUAUAAUGAUAUUACAUAUUUAUAUCGUCAAAAUAAUAUUAGUGUUAAUGUGAUUUGUUGGC